rnacentral:lncRNA from 1 species
AGAACACGAAAAAAAAGAGACUAGAACGCGGCUAGCGCGAAGUCAAAUAAAUGAAAAUGGAGGAGCUUCUCAUUGUUUGUUCCUUGGAUCUUCUCAUCUUUCGUAUAAGAUCAUGGCAGCGCAGCAGCGUUUACUUGCGAUCAUUCUCUUGGCGAUCCUGGUGGGAAUUUCGCUGCUAGCAAAUUCCAUCUCUGGAGCUGAAGCUCGUCCACUGGAUCAUCAAGGUCUGUGUGAACUUUUCACAAUGUUUUCCCUUGAAGAUCUUCCAUACUUUGUUCUUCCCAGACGAUCACUAUCGUUCUCUCGUCGAGGAAGACGGGGACUACGCACCGACGUCGAACCAGAGAGAUUUCCAGAAGAGCCACGGACCUGUGUCUUCCAAACAUCCUGGAAACUAGAGAGUAAGCUCUACACUGUGUCCAUCCAGUACCUGGUUUUUCCUGUGAAAAUCUAUGUAGACUAUUUCUUCAAGUGUUCUACAGUCCCAAUUCCCUCUCAAAGUCGUCGUCCUCUUCAAAGAGUUUGAUGAAGCGAGCCUGCUGUUCUUCGCGUUUCUUCUGCUGCCACUUCGUGUAGCCGACGAUGCCGAGACCCGCGACCAUGAGAAAGCUAAAGAGGGCCACCAGCGCUGUGAUCGCUGCUCUUCCAUGGCCGGAAGAGGGAGCUUGAGGCUCGUCAUUGCUAGAACCUGAGUCUGGAGCGUCUAGCAACAAAACGAAAGGAAAGUCAUACAAGGAAAGCAAGCAAAGAAGGAAGAACUCUCACCGAG